GACGAACGCUGGCGGCGUGCUUAACACAUGCAAGUCGAGCGGUAAGGCCCUUUCGGGGGUACACGAGCGGCGAACGGGUGAGUAACACGUGGGUGACCUGCCCUCAGCUCUGGGAUAAGCCUGGGAAACCGGGUCUAAUACUGGAUAUGACUCCAUGACGCAUGUUGUGGGGUGGAAAGCCUUGUGCGGCUGAGGAUGGGCCCGCGGCCUAUCAGCUUGUUGGGGGGUGAUGGCCUACCAAGGUGACGACGGGUAGCCGGCCUGAGAGGGCGACCGGCCACACUGGGACUGAGACACGGCCCAGACUCCUACGGGAGGCAGCAGUGGGGAAUCUUGCGCAAUGGGCGAAAGCCUGACGCAGCGACGCCGCGUGAGGGAUGACGGCCUGGUGU
rnacentral:rRNA from 1 species